UGGUGGCGCAACGGUAGCGCAGUGGACUCCAGUAUAACAUAUCCAAAGGUUAUCGGUUCAAAUCCGGUUCAU
rnacentral:tRNA from 1 species